rnacentral:rRNA from 1 species
CAGUCGCCGCGGUAAUACGUAGGGUGCAAGCGUUAAUCGGAAUUACUGGGCGUAAAGCGUACGCAGGCGGUCUGUUAAGUCAGAUGUGAAAUCCCCGGGCUUAACCCGGGAACUGCAUUUGAAACUGGCAGGCUAGAGUCUCGUAGAGGGGGGUAGAAUUCCAGGUGUAGCGGUGAAAUGCGUAGAGAUCUGGAGGAAUACCGGUGGCGAAGGCGGCCCCCUGGACGAAGACUGACGCUCAGGUACGAAAGCGUGGGGAGCAAACAGGAUUAGAUACCCCUGUAGUCCCUGUCUCUUAUAC